rnacentral:rRNA from 1 species
GAUGAACGCUGGCGGCGUGCCUAAUACAUGCAAGUAGAACGCUGAAGGAGGAGCUUGCUCUGCUGGAUGAGUUGCGAACGGGUGAGUAACGCGUAGGUAACCUGCCUUGUAGCGGGGGAUAACUAUUGGAAACGAUAGCUAAUACCGCAUGACAACAGCUAUUGCAUGAUAACUGUUGAAAAGUGUCAACUGCUCCACUACCAGAUGGACCUGCGUUGUAUUGGCUAGUUGGUGAGGUAACGGCUCACCAAGGCGACGAUACAUACCCGACCUGAGAGGGGGGUCGGCCGCCCUGGGACUGUGACACGCCCCAGUGUCCUACGGGAGGCGGCAGUAGGGCAUCUUCGGCCAUGGACGGAAGUCUGACCGAGCAACGCCGCGUGAGUGAAGAAGGUUUUCGGAUCGUAAAGCUCUGUUGUCAGAGAAGAACGAGUGUGAGAGUGGAAAGUUCACACUGUGACGGUAUCUUACCAGAAAGGGCCGGCUAACUACGUG